CAGCUUUUCCGCCAACAAAUUCCGCCAUGUUAAUAGCGAUCCGCCAUGGAGCGAGCACAUCUCACUCUUAAAGGGAAUGGGAGAUGACACUCUGAUUGGUUUAUUGAACGUUACGCCCAUUAUCUUAUCACGAAGCAGCAUCGACAAUUCCCACGCUUUUUCCAAAGUAUGUCGCACUGAUUUCAGUAUCGGACACGGUGGGAAAAACGACACAAUAAAUAAAAAGCACAAUAAAUCCCAACGGCACAAUCGCGCAGUGGAGGCACAAAGGGGCACAUCCGCGAUUUCAAACUUUAUCACUAAGGGACGGAUGGAGGCAGAAACUGUAUUACAGAGUGAACUAAAAUGGCAAUGUUGAUUGCAAAAAAAAAAACACAUUCCAUUUGCUUUUUGCGAUGAAUUCAAUGCUAGUGUGGCAGGCAUGUUCCUGGAUUCUGCCAUAGCUAGAAAAUACUCCUCUGGAAAGACUAAAACAACUCAGCUUCUUAAAGGUGCCAUUGCCCCAGAGCUUGCUGAUGAGGUCAAAAAAAUCUGCCAGACCCAGCCAUUUGGAUUACUUUGUGAUGAGACAAACAACAUGCAGACAGAAAAAUAACUAUUUAUACUGGCAAGAGUGUAUGAUGAGAACAGUCUUGAGGUUGUGACCAAAUUUAUUGACAUGCCAGUCUGCAAUGUGGGUACAGCAGAAAAUAUUUAUGAGAAGCCGGAAACCUCUUUGAGAAAUGGAGGAAUCCCAUGGGAUAACCUGGUGGCCUUCAACUCUGACAACUGCAGCGUGAUGAAAGGAAAGCACCAUUCAGUCAUCACCAAACUAAGAGCUAGUAAACCUUAUGUUCAGGAUGUGGGUUGAAUAUGCCACCUUGCUCAACUUGUCACAGGCUGUGGCAUUAAGGCCAUCAAGGCCCCAGUGGAGGAUUUAUUGGGUGCUGUGUAUAGCCACUUCCACAAAAGGUCAUUAUAAAAGAAGAAAAUUUUGUCAGUCUGUUCUUGGUAAAUUUAGGGUAUAGACAGAUAUAGACAGGUGGACAGAUUCUGGGGCCUUGUAGGUAAAAGUGAGACUGAGACCAGGUUUAGUCAGUUGGCUAGUCUGAUUAAGGCACUACUUUGCAUUCCUCAUAGUAAUGCCUCCUCAGAGAGAACCUUUAGCAUGGUCCGAAAGAUUGUGACAGAAAAUCAACUGCACAAAACCUGCACACAAGUACACUCCCUCCAGACGGGUACUUAGCAAAGUCUGCUACUUACAAUUAUAAUUCUGGAUGUAAGAAACACUAGUAACACCUUCAUGUUAAAUACAUGAAGUACUGUAUUUAUCAUGAAGGUGUUUCCAUUUACUUCAAGUACAUGACAUUUUUUGUUAAA